rnacentral:lncRNA from 1 species
UGCACUUCCGGUGCCCACGCGCCGCCGCCUCCUCCGCCGUCGCGCAGCUCGCGGCCGUCACUUUGUGUAGUGCGGGGGGGGUCCCCGGUGGUCACAGCCCCCCCACAAGUCCGUGUCUCGCUCCGGCUUGGCCGGGCCCGGGCGCGCGCGCGGCCACACGGAGGCUCUCUCCCGGGGAUGAUGGCUGCCCUUCAUACUGCUCCAGACUCCCCAGAUACCCAACUGGAGCCAGCAGAAGAUGGCUCGGAAUGUGAUGCUGAGCCCGAGGAGGAAGAGGAAGAAGAAGAGGAAGAUGACGAGCAGGGGAGAGAGGAGGAAGAGGUAGUAGUAGAAGAGGAAGUGGCCACACAGGUGCAGGAGGCGGCGGGA